rnacentral:lncRNA from 1 species
GCCGGCGACCGUCGGAGCAGCGGACCGUGACCACCACCGCGUCGGAGCAGGGGAAUGGCUAGAUCCACCAGCGCCCUGCGGACGGCCUCCUCUAGCAGCAGGGGAAGACCUGCUUGCUGCCCAGUCCUCCGAAUCCGGGUCGGGGAUGGUCGGAUCUGGUGGAGAGGAAGGGGGUCUGAUCCCCCCUACCGCUGAUCUGGGGAGGAGCGCGGCGUGAGCAGGCCCGGGAGCGGUGGCCGCGGAGGUAGGGAGGAAAAAGGGAGAUGGGGGCGGUAGGGAGGAGAAAGGGGAGAGAAGGGAAAGGGUGGUAGGGAGAAGGGGGAGAGAAGGGAGCUCAGUAGGGUGGCAUUCCUCGCAGGAAAGGUGGCGGCGGCACGGGGCACGGCGGGGCACAUGGCGCGGGUACGACGGUGAGGCGCGGUGCGGCGUGGAGAUGGCGAGAGGGGAAGAGAGACCUAGAUUUUUUUUUUUCGAGAGGUUGCUGUCUCGCGGGAGUGCCUCAGGACUUAGCUGAAAUAUUUCAGCUCCGCAUGUGCAUCUUUUUUCAGCCAGGUGACAUUCUUUACCUAGGGCCAAAAGUAUUACUAGGUAUAGUUUUACUUCACAUUUGUUUUUGCAUGCAAAUUUUCUUUCCCUAGAGUUACACUGUUUCUACCUUUACUUUACCUAGAAAAGAGAAAUCACUCUAGGUAAAGAUUUUUGCCCUAGGAAAAAUUGUGAUUUCUAGUAGUGAAUUGCAGUAUGACACAACCCCCAAGAACUAGAUGAGAAGGUAACUCUUUAAUUAAACCCUAUCAUUG